rnacentral:rRNA from 1 species
AACGCGAAGAACCUUACCUGGGUCUGACAUACGCGAGAAACCCCCAGAGAUGGGGGUCUCUUUGAUACUCGUGUACAGAUGGUGCAUGGCUGUCGUCAGCUCGUGUCGUGAGAUGUUGGGUUAAGUCCCGCAACGAGCGCAACCCUCGUUCCAUGUUGCCAGCACGUAAUGGUGGGGACUCAUGGGAGACUGCCGGGGUCAACUCGGAGGAAGGUGGGGAUGACGUCAAGUCAUCAUGCCCCUUAUGUCCAGGGCUUCACGCAUGCUACAAUGGCCGGUACAAAGGGCUGCGAUCCCGUGAGGGGGAGCGAAUCCCUAAAAGCCGGUCUCAGUUCGGAUCGGGGUCUGCAACUCGACCCCGUGAAGUCGGAGUCGCUAGUAAUCGCAGAUCAGCAACGCUGCGGUGAAUACGUUCCCGGGUCUUGUACACACCG